UUAUGGCUCAGGAUGAACGCUGGCGGCGUGCUUAACACAUGCAAGUCGAACGCUGAAGCUCCCAGCUUGCUGGGGGUGGAUGAGUGGCGAACGGGUGAGUAUCACGUGAGUAACCUGCCCUUGACUCUGGGAUAAGCCCGGGAAACUGGGUCUAAUACUGGAUAGGACUGGCCAUCGCAUGGUGGUUGGUUGAAAGCUUUUGCGGUUUUGGAUGGACUCGCGGCCUAUCAGCUUGUUGGUGGGGUAAUGGCCUACCAAGGCUUUGACGGGUAGCCGGCCUGAGAGGGUGACCGGCCACACUGGGACUGAGACACGGCCCAGACUCCUACGGGAGGCAGCAGUGGGGGAUAUUGCACAAUGGGCGCAAGCCUGAAUGCAGCGACGCCGCGUGAGGGAUGACGGCCUUCGGGUUGUAAACCUCUUUCAGUUGGGAAGAAGCCUUUCGGGGUGACGGUACCUUCAGAAGAAGCACCGGCUAACUACGUGCCAGCAGCGGC
rnacentral:rRNA from 1 species